AUUGAACGCUGGCGGCAGGCCUAACACAUGCAAGUCGAGCGGAUGAGGGAAGCUUGCUUCCCGAUUUAGCGGCGGACGGGUGAGUAAUGCCUAGGAAUCUGCCUAUUAGUGGGGGAUAACGUUCCGAAAGGAACGCUAAUACCGCAUACGUCCUACGGGAGAAAGUGGGGGAUCUUCGGACCUCACGCUAAUAGAUGAGCCUAGGUCGGAUUAGCUAGUUGGUGAGGUAACGGCUCACCAAGGCGACGAUCCGUAGUUGGUCUGAGAGGAUGAUCAGCCACACUGGAACUGAGACACGGUCCAGACUCCUAUGGGAGGCAGCAGUGGGGAAUAUUGGACAAUGGGCGAAAGCCUGAUCCAGCCAUGCCGCGUGUGUGAAGAAGGUCUUCGGAUUGUAAAGCACUUUAAGUUGGGAGGAAGAGUUGUAAGCUAAUAUCUUGCAGCUUUGACGUUACCAACAGAAUAAGCACCGGCUAACUCUGUGCCAGCCGCCGCCGUAACAC
rnacentral:rRNA from 1 species